UCAGUACAAGGAAAAUGGAGGCUUUCUUCAAUUAAGGACAGUUCAUUUCCACCUGUGGACUUCUAACUUCAAUUCUGAUGCUUUCAACUCUGAUGAAAAUAUAGACCAGAUCAUUCUCUGAAUAAAACUGUGAUAACUGUCAGCAGUCAUAAAAGGUUUAUGGUUUACACUCUUUGUGCAAUCCUUGGAUAUAAACAUUGUUUUUGGAUUUACCUUCCUUGGUGGAAUAAUUUUCAUGAAUUGACCCCAUUGCUGUUUGAACUGGAGAGAAGUAUUACACAGGAACUGGUGGAUACAGCCUCCAGAACGCAGAUCUGA
rnacentral:lncRNA from 1 species